rnacentral:lncRNA from 1 species
ACCCCGGCAGCACCCCGGGAACCCCGGCAGCACCCCAGGAGCCCCGGCAGCACCCCAGGAGCCCCGGUACGCAACCCUCCCCCGGGAACCCCGGCAGCACCCCGGGAGCCCCGGCAGCACCCCGGGAGCCCCGGCAGCACC